rnacentral:tRNA from 1 species
GCGAGCGUGGCGGAAUUGGCAGACGCGCCAGGUUUAGGUCCUGGUGUCCCUGGGACGUGGAGGUUCGAGUCCUCUCGCUCGCA